rnacentral:rRNA from 1 species
AUUGAACGCUGGCGGAAUGCUUUACACAUGCAAGUCGAGCGGCAGCACGGGGGUAACCCUGGUGGCGAGCGGCGAACGGGUGAGUAAUACAUCGGAACAUGCCCAGUCGUGGGGGAUAACACUUUGAAAGAAGUGCUAAUACCGCAUACGUCCUGAGGGAGAAAGCGGGGGAUAGCAAGACAUCGCGCGAUUGGAGUGGCCGAUGUCAGAUUAGCUAGUUGGUGGGGUAAAGGCCUACCAAGGCAACGAUCUGUAGCUGGUCUGAGAGGAUGAUCAGCCACACUGGGACUGAGACACGGCCCAGACUCCUACGGGAGGCAGCAGUGGGGAAUUUUGGACAAUGGGGGCAACCCUGAUCCAGCCAUUCCGCGUGAGUGAAGAAGGCCUUCGGGUUGUAAAGCUCUUUCGGCAGGAACGAAACGGUGAGCUCUAACAUAGCUUGCUAAUGACGGUACCUGAAGAAGAAGCACCGGCUAACUACGUG